AGAGUUUGAUCCUGGCUCAGGACGAACGCUGGCGGCGUGCUUAACACAUGCAAGUCGAACGAAGCUUGAUUACGGAUUCUUCGGAUGAAGUAUGAUAUGACUGAGUGGCGGACGGGUGAGUAACGCGUGAGUAACCUGCCCUUCAGAGGGGGAUAGCGUUUGGAAACGAACGGUAAUACCGCAUAAUGUAUUUUGACCGCAUGAUCGAAAUACCAAAGAUUUAUCGCUGAAGGAUGGACUCGCGUCUGAUUAGGUAGUUGGUGGGGUAACGGCCUACCAAGCCGACGAUCAGUAGCCGGACUGAGAGGUUGAUCGGCCACAUUGGGACUGAGACACGGCCCAGACUCCUACGGGAGGCAGCAGUGGGGAAUAUUGCACAAUGGGCGCAAGCCUGAUGCAGCAACGCCGCGUGAAGGAAGACGGUUUUCGGAUUGUAAACUUCUGUUCUUAGUGAAGAAUAAUGACGGUAGCUAAGGAGCAAGCCACGGCUAACUACGUGCCAGCAGCCGCGGUAAUACGUAGGUGGCAAGCGUUGUCCGGAAUUACUGGGUGUAAAGGGAGCGCAGGCGGGUGAUCAAGUCAGCUGUGAAAACUACGGGCUUAACCCGUAGACUGCAGUUGAAACUGUUCAUCUUGAGUGAAGUAGAGGUUGGCGGAAUUCCGAGUGUAGCGGUGAAAUGCGUAGAUAUUCGGAGGAACACCGGUGGCGAAGGCGGCCAACUGGGCUUUAACUGACGCUGAGGCUCGAAAGUGUGGGGAGCAAACAGGAUUAGAUACCCUGGUAGUCCACACUGUAAACGAUGAUUGCUAGGUGUGGGGGGUCUGACCCCUUCCGUGCCGGAGCUAACGCAAUAAGCAAUCCACCUGGGGAGUACGAC
rnacentral:rRNA from 1 species